CGCUGCCGCUGAUGUAAGGGCCGUCUCCUCUGGCGCCGACGACGAGGUGAGAAGAAGGUCCAUUUCAUUGCUAUACCAUCUCCAUUUCCUUCCUGGCAUACGUUCCCUAUUCGCGCAUUAGUGCUUGAUUUACCGUUUCGUUUGUAAUCGCUGUCAUAAAUCCCCAAUCCAUGCUAAGCGGCAGCCGAGAGCUUGCGGAUCCAGAAUCCGAUGCUGCAGUGAGUGCAUUUCUUUCUUCCGCGGCAGGAGCGAGUUCUCUGCGGCGAUGGGAGGGUGUCGUAUGAGGUGGAGGGGGGUUCUGCGAUGGAGUCAGCGACAGUAUUUGAUAUUCUAUUUUGGAGAUGGCAAUUACCAAUCCGUUACUGGAUGAUAGGCUGUUUGGUCAUCCUUAAUGUAACACGCUCUCCCUCCCGUAGUCCCAUGGUGGUCACAAGUGGACAGCUCAUUAUGAUUAGGUGUACAACGGCAAGCAUUUGCUACCAUGUUGGAUUUUCUGUUUUCCGUAUUUGGCUCUUCUCGAGCGAGAUAAACUGUAACUGUCAAGUGUGAACAUUUUUUUGGAUAAUGAACAAACUCUAUUUAGUGCUGACAUAUGAGUCCCCCUCUUUUAAUAAAAUGAUAUGUGUACAGAGAGGGGGCCCUACUCAGUUAUAGGUUUUGCAUUCUCACUCCGGCCGAAUUCUUUGUAACUUGACACAAUGGAACUUUCUUUGGAUCACUUGGUAAUUAAUAUCUGCAAAUGCUUACCAAACAAUUUUAGGCUAAUUUUAGGUAUCAGGGAACAUCGCAACAACUUUUGCUGCACUACUCAUCAAAGGUUAAAAGAUUGAUUAUAAAGUUCAUAAAUUGAAGGUCCGGACGUCUGGUACACUCUAUGUGAUAUUUCGUUCUGAUAGUGUGUGCUGACAAUGGCCUGCUGAAGUAUAUUUUUUAUGCGAACCUACUGACCUACUCUAGCAUCAGUUUGGUAUGUACAUCCCUAUGCUGUGGCUAAUAUUUAUUGCAGCCUUGAUGUUUAGGGAUCCGUCCUGUGUCUGAUUUCUUAUUCAGGACUCUUACCCUUGUCUUAUUGUCACACAAAAUAUAUCGGAGCAUGUCUAAUUAAGUUUUCAUCUUUAUCUAAGGGUGAUGCAACACAAUGGUGCAACUUGAUUUAUUGGCUGGCUAGGCAGGUUAGUUCUUCCCUAUGUAUUAUUUAUCUCUUCAGAUUAUCAAUUAUCUCCUUAAAUGGCUAAGUAACAUUUCAUAGUUUCUUUAAAAACAUGUCACCACAUGAUCAGAUCUUGUGAUCUUCUGGUACUUUGAUUUCCUCUCUGGUAAGACACCAUGGCCAUAAUCUGCUACUCUGCUUUGCUAUUUGGUUCACCUAACGUGUUGUCUUUUGUUUAGUUGUUUUCCAUUUUGUGAAUUCACUAAAUAUGUAGAUGUAGGUAGCAUCAACAUGUGUUCUUUUCUUUCUGUGCAUUGUUUUAUUUAAUGUAACAUAAGACAAAGGAAAGAAAAUUUUUAGUCUUAUCCGUAUCAAAGCUUUUUUCCAAGUUGGAUGUUGUGGAGUAAAAGAGAGCAGCAAUGGUUGGGUCUUGUUGGUCCGUGCACUACCUUAUUAAUUAAUUAGAAGAAAAUCUUAUCUUAGUUAUAGGCACGAGCAGUUUCAAUAAUUAGCUGGCUACAAAGGUCCCAAGUGCUGACCACUUAUCAACACUUUUUAUUUACCUCAUCACACUCAUUGUUUUUCUUAUUUCUUGCAUGCAUAGCCUGCAACUUCAUUCUAGAUUUACUGUUAGUGGGAUUUAACUUUUUUUAUUAAAUCCUAAUGCUAAUGAGCUUUAUAAGAACAGAAAGAUGAAAUCAUAGAUCACUCACUCUUGCACUAAACUAGUUUAAUUCCUUUCGCUCAUAUUGAUAUAUUAUAUAUAUAGUAGUCCAAAAUGCUUGAUCAUUAUUGGCCAGAAAUAGACUAAUGGUAGUGCAUUCCAUAAAAGAAAAUCAGAGGACUUUUGUUUGUUGCUAAUGUUUCUGACCUGUUUCCGAACAUACAUAUAACAGGGUACAUUUGUGUACCAAAAUCUCUAUUGGAACUGAACUUAAAAUAAACAGACUGUUACUCUCUUUAGUUAAAAUAACAUGUGGUCUUUUUAUCAUACAAUAAACUAAAUUCUUUUCUACUGUGCCCUGUAUCUUGUCAGGACUAAUACUUAUCUAUUGCCUGUCACCUUUCGAUGUUUCCAGAUGUAGUUUGAUCAAGUUUUAGGACUAGAAAAUGUAAUUGACAUAGCCAUGAAGGUCUAAGAAAUGAUUCUAAUCUUUAUAUAGAAAUGCAGUAUACAUUUCUUUAUCUCUAAGUGAGGCUGAAAUAUUUCAUUAUAUUACAAUAUGCCUUAUCCGAGCCUUAGAAAUUAUAUGAGUUUAGAUGUAACAUGGAACUUACUAUCAUAUUGUUUUGAAUAAUUACUGCAAACCAUAUCUGCUGUUAAUUGAUCUGGAGAAUAUUCCAGAGAUAAAUAUCAUGCAUAUAGAGCUUUGUCGUAUUGCACACUUUUGCACAAGCUGAUACAAACUAUUCUCACACUACAUAGAUACAUACAGCAUAAGCAUACCUCCAAUGUUACCAUAGAUUUUUUAAAAUACUGAAAUCCAUACUAAUGCAAACAUAGCUAGAAAGUACAAGUACUGUAAAUCUGCUAGGCAGA